AACAGGAUUAGAUACCCUGGUAGUCCACGCCGUAAACGAUGAGUGCUAGGUGUUGGGGGGCUACGCCCCUCAGUGCCGAAGGUGACCCAUUAAGCACUCCGCCUGGGGAGUACGGCCGCAAGGCUGAAACUCAAAGGAAUUGACGGGGGCCCGCACAAGCGGUGGAGCAUGUGGUUUAAUUCGAAGCAACGCGAAGAACCUUACCAGGGCUUGACAUCCCGCUGACCCCUCCAGAGAUGGAGGUUUCCUUCGGGACAGCGGGACAGGUGGUGCAUGGUUGUCGUCAGCUCGUGUCGUGAGAUGUUGGGUUCAGUCCCGCAACGAGCGCAACCCUUGUCGUUAGUUGCCAGCAUUUCGGAUGGGCACUCUAACGAGACAGCCGGUGAAAGCCGGAGGAAGGUGGGGAUGACGUCAAAUCAUCAUGCCCCUUAUGUCCUGGGCUACACACGUGCUACAAUGGCUGGUACAAAGGGCAGCGAACCCGCGAGGGGGAGCCAAUCCCAAAAAGCCAGUCUCAGUUCGGAUCGCAGGCUGCAACUCGCCUGCGUGAAGCCGGAAUCGCUAGUAAUCGCGGAUCAGCAUGCCGCGGUGAAUAUGUUCCCGGGCCUUGUACACACCGCCCGUCACACCACGAGAGUUUGCAACACCCGAAGUCGGUGAGGCAACCUUUUAGGAGCCAGCCGCCGAAGGUGGGGCAGAUGAUUGGGGUGAAGUCGUAACAAGGUAACC
rnacentral:rRNA from 1 species